UCAAAAAUUAAAAUUAAAAGAAGCAACAAUCAAAAUUUUUCAUGUAGAAUUUUAACAAUAGAAAAAAAUCUUUGUAAAAAAAAUAAAAACACGGACACAGGCCACCUCGAAUCUCUACAACCUUUUAUCUUUGUGAAAUCCAAAAAAAUAAAGCAAAAUGACGCUAUUCAAGAAGUUAAUGCAACAACUGAAAAGCAAAGAGUUCAGGUCCUACUUAAUGAGUACUCACUUCUGGGGCCCUGUGUGCAAUUGGUCAUUCCCUGUUGCCGCGAUUGCUGACACACAGAAGCAUCACAGCAUUAUCAGUGGAAAAAUGACAUUUGCUCUCGCCGUAUAUUCGCUUUGUUUCAUGCGGUUUUCGUUGCGGGUGAAACCUCGCAACUUGUUGCUCUUUGCCUGCCAUAUCAUUAACGAGUGCGCGCAACUCACCCAAGGAUCUCGGUUCAUAUACCACAACUAUAUCAAGACGAAAGUAUAAUAAUAUGUUUAGAUCAGCAACUUCGUUAUGAAAAAGUCAAUCAAGUCUGCAAUUGUUCCAAAAGUGUUCUUGUCCUUUUUGAUUAAAAAUGAAGAAUUCGUUGAUUAUGACGCUAUAUCGUUGUUAACAAGUUAAAAUUUAUAAUAAAGCAAACUGACAAAAAAAAUACGUACGAAAGUUUGGUUCUAAAACAUUAGCAAUGAAAUGAUUCCCAAUCUUGUUUUUGUCAGUAGGUAUUUUUUGUGACCAAUGCCAAAAUCUUAAGAUUAUUUUUACCGCUAGAAGCCCUAAAUAUUAUGCAUUUAUAAAAAAAGCGCUGAUGGUCAAACUCUAGUUCGCCACAUGCCGCUUAUUAAAAAAAUGCAAUGAGAAAAAUGGGCUUGAAGAUAUGAUUAAUUAGUUUUAAGGUCCUUUAAAAUUGUGUAGUGGUAAUUUUACAAAUCAUAGUUUAAUACCUAUUACGUUUACGAAUACGGAAUUGUUUUCAUAAACUUUUGUUGCUAUAUGCCUAAACUUCUUAAUGAGUGUAUGUUAUUUCAAUCUCGAUAUAGUCAUAAUUAAACGAAUUCUC